GUUGAGCCUCGACUCAAAAGAGACAUGGACUGUAGAAGACUGGGUAUGUAUCCAUUAUAAAGUCGUUGGUUGGUAUGAUAACCACCCACAUGCGAGGUGGUCACAGUAUCCGGGAGUUGCCACUAGGAUAAAAUUGUAACUUUUAAACAUAUGGAUUACUCGUACAAAAUGUGUAGAAAUGUUUUCUCUGUAUCAUGCAAUAAGACGUUGAUGCCAAGUAGACGGAAAUAAUGUGUAAUGUACUUCAUAUUUGUACUAAUUUAAGUAUUUAUUGUAUUAAUAUAUUGUUAUUGAUUUUCCCCGAAUGGAGUCUGCAAAGAAAUCACAUAUUGAGAUGGAUAUUAUGAGAUAUGCUCCUCAACUACUACGUCAACUACUAUAACCACUGAACAUGUCAAAUACUAUAUUGCCUAUUUCAGAUGAGAGUAGAAGGACUUUUGAUAUCGAUUCAUGAAGACUUAUUGCAGACAGUCGUUUGGAAUCGCUUCCGUGAACGAUAUAAAAAAGAGUUUAAAUUUUGAAGAACUGACAACACCAAUACCAAACUCAUAGUCAUCAGGGUCAAGCUUAUUGUGAAGUAUAUAUAAUAAAACUGAAAUAGGAUAGGGCUGCAGGAAGAAAUAUUAGUAUUUAUGAACACUGAAAAGAAGUCAUUGUUUUACUUCCUGUAUUCACACUGAACUACGGUUUAAAUUGCCGAAUCAUUUAUUGGAAAAGCAAGAGAUAAUAAAUAACAGAACGACAGGAGAUAUCCAUUCUAAUUAGUUAAAGGAAAAAUGUUGAUCUUCGUUUGUACUAAUCCCCAACAAUAUACGCGGACUCUCAAACAAAUCAACAAACAUACAUUGAAGCUUCUCACAACAACAAAAAAGGAAAAAAAAAAAAGAAAAAAAAGAUUCGCAAAUGCACAAUGCCCAACAACCAACCGUCCUAAUCUAUUCAUAGCAAUCUCUCAAAGUUCAAGUUUUCAAGUUUCAUCAGUCAUAGUAAAUAAAGUAGUUAGAGUACAAGUGUUGUCAUUCUAUAUGAAGUCCUAUAUCAUAUCAUUACAUAGUGUAAGAAAAACUGGAUUUAUGAACUUGCUCACCAUUUAAUUGUGAACAUUCAACUAGAAUAAUUGUAUUUAAUUUUCUCAUGGAUUUAUCAUUAUGGAUUUAUGAGUGAAUUUCACAAUGUCAAGGGAAGCCACAACUCCAGCUAUCAAAAUGGACUUAACUGGGGUCCCAACUCCUUGCAUGGAUUGGAGGAGUACAAACUUGCCUGAAACAUGGCGCGAAUUUGUAGAACAUUGUGACCUCAUUUUAAAGGGGUCCAUGAAAGACACAGAUGAAGAAGUCAAAGUGACAUAACUGUGUGCUGGCGAAAAGGGCAGAGACAUUGAGGGAACAUUAACCAUCUCAGAAGCCAACAGGAAAAAGUUAAAGCCUGUGAUGCAGUAAAAAAACACUUACAGCCAUCCAUCAAUCCAGUAUUUGCGAGAUAUCGUUUCAAUAACAAGGUUCAGGGUGAAAAGACAUUUGAGCAGUUUCUGACCAAGCUUAAAAUGUUAGCUAAUGACUGCGACUAUGCGGACAGGGAUCAAAUGAUCAGAGACAGGAUCGUUUUAGGAGUGAAUUCACAAAAAAUAAGAGAAAAACUAAGUGAGAAACUCACCUUAGACAAAGCUAACAGGUUUGCCAGUCAUUUGAGUAUGCUCAGGAACAACUCAAGGGAAUGAGCCUGUCUCAAACAAUGGCACAGUCACCAAGCUAGUCGGUGAAUGUAGUCCGGUCCAAAUAUGGGGAACAGAAAUCUGGUCAUAACACCUCAGACCAGCCUGAUCACAGUGCCUCAGGCAAGGAGAGGAAGGGAUACCUACCAGACACGCAGCAAAACAACGCCAGGAAAAACUGCCACAAUUGUGGAAAAACAAAACGUGGAACCAUUUUUGAUCUGCAUGUAAAUCCAGUGUUAAUGAAAUUCUCAUAUCAGAAUAAAGAUAGCUUGGAUAAUGACAAUGCUCAGGAUCUGUUUAUUAAUUGUAUAGAAGUGUGAUAAAUGGGCAGGUAUUUGAACAGUUUGAGGUAGGUCCUUCAAAAACAUUUGUUAGGUUAAAACUUGACACGGGUAGCCAGGUAAAUGUGUUACCACAUAGGGUAUUUCAGAAUCUGGGAAUAAGCGCCGUCCUUGAAAAAUCCAAAAUCAAAUUGUCUGCCUACAAUGGAAAUGAGUUAUAUUUUAUGGGAUGCAUAAAGCUACGAUGCAGUCACCCUGCCACUGGUUCAAGCAGUGAUGUGCUGUUUCAUGCUGUCAAUACAAGGUCACCCUCAUUAUUAGGGUUCCAGUCAUGUAUUGGAUUCAAUUUGAUUAAGCUCACUUACUCAGUGGAAUCCCAGGUGAACCAGUCUGAGAUACAUCUCACAAAAGAAUUAGUCAUGAAACAAUAUCCUGCAGUGUUUAAAGGUAUUGGCAACCUCCCUGGUGAAUGUAAAAUCCAUGUUGACCCAUCAGUCCCCCCGUCAUACAUAUUCCCGCAAAAUACCACUUGCAUUUCAUGACAAGGUUAAAGCUGAACUAUCGAGAAUGGAAGAGCUAAGUGUCAUUUGCAAGGUAACUGAACCAGCUUCAUGGUUGUCACAGAGAAAAUCUAUGGGGACAUAAGAAUUUGUUUGGACCCCCGGGACCUUAAUAAAGCCAAUUUACGCCCUCAUUAUCCAUUAAGGACACUUGAUGACAUAUUGUAACAGUUGUCACGUGCCAGAUAUUUUACAAAACUAGAUGCCAAAUCUGGAUACUGGGCCUUGAAUCUUGAUCAUGAGUCCUCCCUGCUCACAUGCUUCAAUUCCAUAUUCGGUCGGUAUAGAUAUAUCAGGGUACCCUUUGGCCUCAACUUAGUGCAGAUGGGUUGAAACCCGACCCGGCCAAGGUCAUAGCAGUAGAAAGCAUGCAGCCACCUUCGGAUAAGGCAGAACUUGAGACCAUAUUAGGCAUGGUGAAUUAUUUGUCCCGAUUUGCUCCCAACCUUUCUUAGGUCACCGCUCCUAUGGGGCAAUUAUUAUCAAAAAAUGUAGAGUUCUGCUGGCAAAAGCUACAAAGUGACGCAUUCAAAACUAUGAAACAAAUAAUUACUACCCCUGGUCUGGUACUUGCAUACUAUGACCCCAGUAAGACCCUUACCCUCCGAGUUGAUGCGAGCAAAUAUUGACUAGGAGCCGCGCUUAUACAAGAGGAUAAGCCGGUGGCAUAUGCGUCCAAGUCAUUAACCCAACAGGAGGUUAAUUUUGCACAAACUGAAAAAGAAAUGUUUGUGAUACUGUUUCGGGCCAGGAGAUUUCAUCAGUUUGUUUAUGGCCGAAAGGUUCGUGUGCAGUCAGACCACCUCCCAUUAUUACCCAUAUUAAGGAAGCCCAUCAGUGUCAUUCCUGCAAGACUCCAAAGAAUGGCUGUUCAGUUACAAAGGUAUGACCUUGACAUAAAACACUACCCUUCAAAACAGGUCCCAGUCGCAGACACUCUCAGUAGGAAAUUCCUGAAUGAUACAUUUCCUGACCUUUCUGCUGGGAUGAACAUGCAAGUGCAUUUGGUUAUCUCAAGUCUACCCAUAUCUGACAAGAAAAUGCAGGAAAUCCAAUCCCUUACUGAUCAAGAUAAAGAAUUAGUGCUGUUGAAACAAACAAUUUUUCAUGGUUGGCCUGAUGUGAAAAACAAAUGUUCUGACCUCAUUCUUCCCUACUGGAAUUAUAGGGAUGAGCUCACUAUUGUAGAGGGUUUAGUUAUGAAAGGCAAUCAAAUCAUUAUCCCCAGAUCUCUUAGACCAGAAAUGCUAAAAUUAAUACAUCUUGGUCACAUGGAAAUAGAAAAAUGCCUCCGCAGAGCCAAAGAUGUUUUGGCCCAACAUAUCAGACAGUAUCAAAGACAUGGUCACAAAUUGUGAAAUCUGUUAAAAUCACAGAUACUCUGUAGUAGCUGGAAAUCUGAUAACCGAACUUUCUGGUAUCCGGAUAUCAUUCACUUUACGAACCAGUACUCACUAUGUGUAAAAUACAGAUUUUAAUCCAGUUUCCUCGAAUGUAUGUUUAGUACUGACAUAACACUUUGAUUUCAUCCGAAAAUCAUUGCUUGUUAUAAAUCAUUUUUGUUAAUAUUUCGAUUUCCAGCAUUCCUGCAUGCGGUAUUUACAAGUUGAAUAUGCCAUUUUUUUAUGAAUGUUCGCUCAUGAAUUUUAGUAAUUUUGCAGGGAAUGCUUAAAUGACUGAUUUAUAUUGCUACUGAUUAAUGUUUUGUUAACUUUGAUUAUUUCAAAAGUAAAUCUUAUUCAAAAGCGAAUAUGUAAUUAGCAAACUUCAGGAAUAAUCUGGAACGCUCCGUGUAAUCUUUUUUGCUUUGAACGCGCAAUGCUGGAAAAUGCUGGAACGCUAUAUUUUCGUCUCUGUUUUAGUUUAUCGGAUACAAUUGUAUCUGUUCCUCUUUUUGAAUCAAUUCUUUGUAUUUGCCCUUACCUUUUAAUAUCUUUAUAGCAGCACAGUUUACGUUAAUUCCAUAUUAUUUAAUGUUUACUUAGGUUUGACCUGAUUACAUUGACAGCGCGCUUUUUGUGUCAAGGAUUUUGAUUGGUCCCUAGCAUUCCAGUAUUCCUUCCAGCAUUGCGUCACUUAUAAAAGGACGCACGUUCCAGCAAUGUGGGUACUUUGAUAAAAACUAAAUGGCUGAAAGUAGGUCUUAUCAACUCGUCCAUUGCUGUGUCUGUCUUUAAUCCCCUACGUGUUUAUCAUUUCUUUUACUGUAAGAAACAUAGUUUAUCGUUAAUAUAUAUUGAGAAUAUGUUAUAAAAUGUAAUUAAAUAACA